rnacentral:rRNA from 1 species
AACGCGAAGAACCUUACCUGGGUUUGACAUCCCCGGACCGCACUGGAGACAGUGUUUUCGUAGCAAUACGACCGGGAGACAGGUGCUGCAUGGCUGUCGUCAGCUCGUGUGGUGACAUGUUGGGUUAAGUCCCGCAACGAGCGCAACCCUUGUCCUUAGUUGCCAGCAUUCAGUUGGGCUCUCUAAGGAGACUGCCGUGGUGAACACGGAGGAAGGUGGGGAUGACGUCAAGUCCUCAUGGCCUUUAUAUCCAGGGCGACACACGUGAUACAAUGGACGGUACAGAGGGAAGCGAAGGAGCGAUCUGGAGCCAAUCUCAAAAAGCCGUUCUCAGUUCGGAUUGGAGUCUGCAACUCGACUCCAUGAAGUUGGAAUCGCUAGUAAUCGCGGAUCAGCACGCCGCGGUGAAUACGUUCCCGGGCCUUGUACACACCGGAGUGC